rnacentral:lncRNA from 1 species
GUAUUUUUCUCUAGUUUAUUUAAGAAAAAUAGAAUGCUAGUGGGAAAGCUAGUAUGAAGCUGCUCCCCACCCCCUCUGAUUAAAACAGCUCUCUAGCUCAUCGUUUCAGGGACUCAAUAGCUGCUUGGGUAAUUAGCCAAGUGAGUUUAAAUGUUGUCUAUAUGUUCCUAAAAAUGACUGUGGGACAGGUAGUGUGAAGUCUAGAAGGUCUUUUUCCCUUUCAUGUUAUAAUCGGUUUUUCUAUUGAAGGUUUUCAAAAGACUGAGUGGAAGAUUCUUAUUAAGAGAAAGUCUUUAUAGUUAAGGUGGACUGACUUUGAAGUGAGGCUCAUGGGAUGUCUGGUAUCAUCGCUCUGCUUUUGAAAUAUGAACAGUUGCCAUCAGAUGUUAUCAGUGGAAUUAUUCAUCGGUUACUUGCUUUAGUAAUAAUAUCCAAAACUAAGAAUAGUGGAGUGUAUUUAAUAUUUUGACAAGGAUCUCAGUGUUUAACUGAGAUUUUUAUUAUUUUAUCUUCUACCUCCCUCCAUUUCUCUCUGAGACAAGGUCUCUCUCUGUAGCCCUGGCUGGUCUGCAACUAACAGAGAUAUUCUCUGCUUCUAGGACUAAAGAAAUACACACCCCAUUUUAUUUUUUUUAUACUUGCUAAAAGCAUUUUAAAAAAGAAAACCACCUUAAAAUUAUCUUUGUAUUUAUAUGAUCCAAAUGUAAAGAGUAUAAAAUUAAAAGACUUUGUAAAAAGAAAUCCUUUCACAUCACUCUUAUAACCAUAUAUAGGUUUUCUAUUUAAUUUCUUGUAUCUUUCAAAACAAUUUCAUAUAGAUAUAGUAAACCACAUGCGUAAGUUAACCUAAAGAUAUUUUUAAGAGGGAAGUAUUAUUUCCUUAAAAGGUUAAGGUUUUUCUGUUUAUGUAUUUAUAGAGAUGGGAUUCACCAUGUGGUCAUGCUUGCCUUGAGCUUGCAGCUGUCCUCCAUGUCCUCUGGAGUGCCUGAAUUGCAUUCAUGCAGCCCACACCCAGUUCCUAAAGAUCCUUUUUAAAAAAUACUUUCUAGCCUUAUAAUGAGUCACUGAUUGUGAAACAGGUGCUAUUAUAAUUUGAAGCAGUGUUUUAUGGUUCACUUUGCUUCUAGGCCACUAAAUUUUGUUCUUCAUACUUCUUGUCUUUCCUUUUCUGUCUCUCCCAAGGACGCUAAUUCCCAUCUCUGCGUGUCUGCUCCUGUAGUAGGUGUUUAGUCCCUAUGCUUCCCUUCCUUUCUCUGUCUGUUGUGGCAUUAGUGUGUAGUGCCACAACACAGUGACCUGUGGAGGUCAUGUGUAGAGUAUUACCAUUUUGUCUUGUUUCUCAUGUCAUAGUGAGUGGCCUUAGCUAGGUGAUUUUUAUAUAUUGUUCCAUAUAGUAUUGCUAUUCUUUUUAAACAAUAAUUAGUAAUAAUCCAUCUUAGUGCUGUCUUUAUUGCUUUAGGCAUUUAGUUCAUUCAUUCAGAUGCUUUUGUUGAGAUGUCAGGACUCUUUGCACUUUAUUAACUUCGUAUCCUUUUGUCAUCAUAGGUUGUUGAAAGUCUUUAACAACUGGAGAACUUUUACUUUAUUUUCUGUUGUUUACUUGCUUAUCUGCUAUAGUCUUUAAUUCCUAACCCUGGUUCUUGUACAGAAAUGCAUGAGUUUACUCUUUAUUAAUAUUUGGUUGCUAUUAUUACAUCAUCAUCAUAACUCAAACAAGCUCCCAUUCCUAUCUAAUAAUGUGAGAGGUCGCAGAGUUCUAAUAUUGGAACUUCCCUCUAACCAUGCAAAAGAGCUUUAUAUUUGUUCUAAGGGAUUCUGAAAAAAAAAAUCAUCAUAGAAUUUGGGUGCUAUGCUCUAAGGAGAAAGAAGUUUAUAUCAACAGAAGGUACUUUAUGCCAUGUGCCAGCUGCUAUCAGUAUAAAAACAUGCAGUAUAAAUCUCACUGGUGAUGUCUGGGAAGUCAAGAUUUAGGAGGAUUUCAAAAAACAUGUUUUGUUAUGAACACGGCAUAGGCAAACUGAGAGAAAGGAAAGACUACAUUAACCCUCUCCCCUUUCUUUAUCUUUUUGUGUUGCUAGAUACCAAAUCUAGGGCUUUGUGUGUGUUAGCCAGAACUGCUUGACUACUGAGCUGCAUUCUAGCCUGCCGUCUUCAGUCUUCAUUUGGGGAUCUUGUUCUUCCCUGCUGUAUAUUACUGCCAUGUCUGGUUUCCCACCAAGAGUCUUCUGGAAUCCUUCCAUUCUCUUCCCUUAACCUACAUCUCUCUUACAUUCUUUCCCCGCUCAGACACUGUUGUUAGCAAUCUGGCAUGAGUACUUUCCAUACUUUUUUCCAUUUACAUGAUAAGUCCUUAGUUUUCCCAGAAUGUAAAACUAUAAUCAUUUCCCCCAUUUGACAUAAAUGUUCUCUUAAUUAAGAUGAAUGAUAUCAUUGCUUACAAUCCUGCAUGUUAUUAUUUAAAAGCACUUCAUAGAAAAGGUAGGUUUUGUUUGUUUUUAAAGAUUUGCCUAUUUUACUUUAUAUGCAUGAGUGUUUUUCCUAUAUUUUGUAUAUGCAUCAUGUGUGCAUCUGGUGCCCAUGGAGGUUAGAAGAGGCAGUCGGAUCCCUGAUUGCUGUCAGUUAUGAAUGGUUGUAAACCACCUGUGGGUGCUGGGAACCAAAUUUGGGUCCUCAGCAAGAAUGACAAGUGCCCUUGACCUCCAAGCCAGCUCUCCGGUCUUGAGAAGACUUUAAAGCCUCAUUCUUAUUGCUGAGUUUGGGUUUACUUAUAAUUGAUUAAAAGUGUAUUAUUUUAAUUCAGAGUGUGGUUUUGUCAUACAUUAUUUAACGAUCACCUUUUUUAAUGAACAUUUGCUUUUUAAAUUGUUUUAAAGCAUUGUGUAUGCUGUAGCAGUGAUCAACCUUGAAAGAUAUACCCUUAUAUUUUGUUCCUUUACUUUUACAUAUAAGAUUCUCAAUUUUAUUUUUAUGGAGAUGUUUGAGUUGGGGAGGGAGGGGAAGAAAGGAUAUUUUCCACAAAGUGCUAAGCUCAGUGGCUAUUGUACCACCAGCAUAAGAAAAUAACCUUCAUGCUCUCUCUAACAGGAGGGGUUGUUUCAAUUUUGUUUGUGUGCCAUGUGAUCUUUCUGUUCUGUCAAGUACUUACUUGUAGUUAGCUCCAUUUUUCUAAUAGUACAAGGGCUUUUUUUAUUAGAAGCUGUUGAAUAUUACAGCUGUUACUCUAAUAGCUGCCAUUUAUUUUAUAUUUUUUCACUGUUUUUGUUGGUAGAUUUUAAACCAACACGUUGAACUUUUGUAUAUCUUUUGUCUUAUGGAUAAUGGAGUUCCUGCUUGUGAUGAAAGCAUCUUUCUCAUCUUUGAUUACUUGUAUGUACACAUUCGAGUCUGUCCUAGUUAGAUUACAAGAGUCAGAGCUACUUAGAGAGAGACACAGACACACAGAGAGAAACAGAUUGAUUGUAGAGAUUAACAAUAUAUAAUCAUGGAAGUAGUUAAAUUCUGAAGUAGAUUAAAAGUAUAUGUGAGGCUGUUGCUUUCAUACAUCUUUUAUAAAAGAAAAAGGACUUUAAGCUUGGUGUUUCUAGGAAAGAAUUGUCACAUUAAAUGGGUUUCAUAUAAAUUGACAUAUUCCAAAUAUAGAUUUCUUUGAAAAAUGUCAUGGUUGAAUACAAGGUAGUAAUUAAUUGCCUCACUUUGAGUACUUAGAUUUUUAAAUUUUUUUAAAGUUCUUUUACAUAGACCAUUUUAAUUGGAUCAAAAUUAUUUGACCUGGAUGGCUGGAAGAAGCAGCCCAGUUAUAGAUGUUUUAAUGAUGCUUUUAGACUUUAUUUCUGUGAGAUAAAUCUUCCUUUUGUAAUUCUCAUUGGUACCACAUUUGCAGGAUUCUGUUUAUGUAAAUAGUGUUUUCUUUUGUGUGUGCAUGCGUAUGUAUGUGUGUGUUUGUAUGUGUGUGUGUGUCUGUGUAUAAGAACCCUGAGACAUCUCAUUGUCUUGGCCUGUAAAUAGUUUUAUUAUUUAAUUUUUUUCUAUUUGUAUUGGCAGAAUUUGUCUGCUCAUUAUUUAUGGUUAUACAAGUACUAGUUGGAAAUAUUGAGUGUGACUACACACAUACAUUCAACUUAGUGGUUCUCUGUCUGUCUCAUCAAAUAUAAGCAGCCAGUACUAGAAUAAAAUGGAGAUAAUGAAAUGGGUUAAAAAAAAGGAAAAAAUGACUGGAAGUGAGCUAAGUAGUGGCUUUCUCUUUGAUAUGACCUGGGUUUCAUCUUGAUCAUUUUGUGCCCCUACUCUCUACCACCUUAGAUUUAUACAUUUGGGUAUGUGCACUUGUGUUCUCUUCCCCUUCCCCAAGUAUAAGUAGAAAGUGUAAAUUCUUGCGUUUUCAAGGAAAGACUGAAUGAAAUGCUGAAUGAGUAGACUGCCAGGCAUCACCGAAGAAAAACUGCUGUAGGGGAGGAGAGGAAAGAACAAUUUGGUAACUUCUCAGACUGCAGUUAACUAAAAUCCGGAACUUAUUUAUGUGGGCAUUGGAAGUAGGAUAUAGAGAGGGUUGUUAGAGCACAACUGAUUUGACCCAUUAGGGCUUUCUAAUAGAAGAAAAAUGCCAUUAGGUCUCCAUCAUUUUUCAGUUUCCUUCUCUUUAGCGAGGGGUUUCCUUAUUCUCUGUCACUACUGUUCAGUGGAAAGGGUACUAAGGGCUUACAUAAUAAUGCCAUUCUGCAUAAGAGUAAGAAAUACUCUAUGAGGCAUACUCUUGGAUGGCUUUCCCUCAGUACUGCUAAUGUAUAUUGAUCUCCUUAUAGUUUUCAGAAUCAAUUAUGAUCAUUUACAAGUAUUGAUCAUUUCAGAGAAAAACGAAGCAGACAAAUGCAAAAUAAAUAUUGGGGUUUAGAAUGUGAAGAGCAAGACUGGUCCACACAAAGACCAAUCUCAUGGCUUGUCUUUUAACCUAGAUGCAUGAGCUUGACAGGGCAGGGGCCCAGCUCCUCUGUUUCUUAAACACAGGUACCAUUGUGGCUGUAGGGAACUGCAAUUAACCAUUAAAAUCCCUUGAAUAGU